rnacentral:rRNA from 1 species
UUUAUGGAGAGUUUGAUCCUGGCUCAGGAUGAACGCUGGCGGCGUGCCUAAUACAUGCAAGUCGAGCGAACGGACGAGAAGCUUGCUUCUCUGAUGUUAGCGGCGGACGGGUGAGUAACACGUGGAUAACCUACCUAUAAGACUGGGAUAACUUCGGGAAACCGGAGCUAAUACCGGAUAAUAUUUUGAACCGCAUGGUUCAAAAGUAAAAGACGGUCUUGCUGUCACUUAUAGAUGGAUCCGCGCUGCAUUAGCUAGUUGGUAAGGUAACGGCUUACCAAGGCAACGAUGCAUAGCCGACCUGAGAGGGUGAUCGGCCACACUGGAACUGAGACACGGUCCAGACUCCUACGGGAGGCAGCAGUAGGGAAUCUUCCGCAAUGGGCGAAAGCCUGACGGAGCAACGCCGCGUGAGUGAUGAAGGUCUUCGGAUCGUAAAACUCUGUUAUUAGGGAAGAACAUAUGUGUAAGUAACUGUGCACAUCUUGACGGUACCUAAUCAGAAAGCCACGGCUAACUACGUGCCAGCAGCCGCGGUAAUACGUAGGUGGCAAGCGUUAUCCGGAAUUAUUGGGCGUAAAGCGCGCGUAGGCGGUUUUUUAAGUCUGAUGUGAAAGCCCACGGCUCAACCGUGGAGGGUCAUUGGAAACUGGAAAACUUGAGUGCAGAAGAGGAAAGUGGAAUUCCAUGUGUAGCGGUGAAAUGCGCAGAGAUAUGGAGGAACACCAGUGGCGAAGGCGACUUUCUGGUCUGUAACUGACGCUGAUGUGCGAAAGCGUGGGGAUCAAACAGGAUUAGAUACCCUGGUAGUCCACGCCGUAAACGAUGAGUGCUAAGUGUUAGGGGGUUUCCGCCCCUUAGUGCUGCAGCUAACGCAUUAAGCACUCCGCCUGGGGAGUACGACCGCAAGGUUGAAACUCAAAGGAAUUGACGGGGACCCGCACAAGCGGUGGAGCAUGUGGUUUAAUUCGAAGCAACGCGAAGAACCUUACCAAAUCUUGACAUCCUUUGACA